rnacentral:lncRNA from 1 species
AAAGGGGCUACAAGGGAUCCAUGGAAAGAGCAUUCCCAGAAGCGGGGCCAGGGCAGUGCGCACAGUGAGGAGAGCAGGUGUGUGUGAGGUUGAAACAAAACGUUCAAAGCCCCCUCGGAAGCCCAUCCACAGGUGUGUGACUGUGAACCGCAUCGUAAUCUCCUAGAAAGCAAGAACAUCAGGCUUACAUUUUCCACUUGCCUCUCACGGCUCAGAGCUCUGCAGUAUAUACAUUGAGGAAACUGGGCCCUGAGACAUUAACUUGCCCAAAAGAUCACAGUGGGCAACAUUCUAGAGCACAGUGGAAGCCGACAGCAAUGUCAGUGAAGAUGGAAAACAGAACGUGGAGAGAGAUGUAGCUUACUAGAGCCCUGUGGCUUCAAUCCCCACCAGGAAUGUCGUUUAAGAGGAAGAGAAGCAGCCUCGGGGAGCGGGCGGGGCUGGGGAAUCCCUGGCCUCCCUCCUUUCCUUCUGGCUGAUCUUCUGCAGAAGACCUCACAAAAGGGAGCUGAGGGGCCAGGAAGCCUGUGGAUGCCCUGAAGAAGAAUGAGUAGAUCUGAAAGGGCAGUAGAACAGAACCAGAAUCCAGUGCAAAGGCCCUGGGGCAGGAGUUCGCAGGAGAAGCGGGGAGAAGGAACCAGCCUAUGAUCCAGGAAUGCAGUGAACAAGAUUUGGGAAGUUGACAGAGAAUAUGAGGCCUCCUCUCCAAACAGAAACUCCAGGACGCUUGGUUGAGUCACUGACACAUGCACAGUGCUGAGCAUAGUACCAGACACCAGAGUCUGUGUUCCAGAAAUGGAAGAAUAGGUGAGUAAUGAAAGUCUAAGUAAGCAAAUUCUUCGCAAAUGGGGAAAAGAUUGAAUGUAUAGGGCUGCAUAUAUUAGAAGCCCCCUGGAAUCUCUGCAUCCAGAAGAUUGCAGUCACCUUUGAAGCACUCACCACCAGAGUCUACUCGCACACUCUCCUGUGGCAGCCGUUCACCUCGGCCCUUUUCCUAGGGAUUUGCCUUCAAGUCCCAGAAUGGGCCUCAGGGUCUUUGCAUUCGCCUUUCUAUGAGUCUGAAACACCACCCACCCCCUCACCUGUGGGCAGGCAAAGCACCUCCUGUGUUCAUGUCAUCUCCUGUAUCAAGCCCUUCCUGAUGACCAACUUGCAGCCGGGUGCCCUCUAUCCAUGCCUCCAUGGCCGCCUAUGAUAAUGUCCCCCAUAUCAUUUACCAUUCUGCUCAUGAAUUUGGCUUCAUUCAUCUCGCAACAACCCCAGAGUAUUAAGCCACUCGAGGGUGGAAGCUGGUGCUUUUACCUCCGCACCUCUCAUGCCCGACAGAGUCCAUGGCAGAAGGCCGGCUCUCAGAUUUUAGCUGCAUUCCUGAAUGAAGGAAUCAAUAAAAGCCACACAGCAUUAAGUGGCAGACUCUAGUAAUUUAAUUCCUGGUCCUGGGCUCUUUGAUAUAAAAUAACUCUUCUAUUUUUAAUACACCCCACAUUCCUGAAGAUGACACUACUGCAAAAUUAAAGAAAUGUGAUGAACAGCUUACAACCUGCAACACACUCGGCAGCUCAAAAUGACAACAUUAAUUUAAUGAACUUAAACACUGGUGAACUUUUUAACACAUCCAGAGUUAUUUACACUGGGAAAUGCAUACUUAAGACUGCCUGCCAAAGAGACUCAAAUAGAGAUGACACAUAUAUCUUUCACAUGUUAAUUUGCAUUUGAAACUUUGAGCUUUGAUACAGGUUGGCUUUUCUCUUUUGGAAUGAAGAAAUCAAGAGACUAAUUUUUUACCCAUCCAUCCAUCUAUCCAUCUAUCCAUCCAUCCAGCCACAUCUUUCCUAAGUGACAGGACAUAUCACACACCAACCGUGUGCAAAGCACUCUACCUAAAGAUCAGCGCUAACAGAGGAAUAAGCAGAGGCCUCCAGGAGCAAAGAGUGAAAAGUCUCCCAAGGAUUCAAGUACGGGGGAAGUGGGUGGAGCUUUCACCGUAGAAUCUUUCCUGGAGAAAAAGCAAAGAGUGGGACAACAAUGAAGGCAUUAAAAAUAACUGUCAAGUUG